CGUAUUGAAAUGUGCUAUGUUCUGGUUGAACCUCCUCUCCCCCAUCUCCCUGUUCCCCACUGUUGCUUAAGCCCUUCUAUCCCCCAGUGUUUCCCCUUUUACUUUUGUAUUAUUUGUUUUCUAUCAUCAUUUCCAUCCCUUACCCUAAAGCCUCUUUUUCGUCCUCUCAUGUGCCCAUUUCUAGUUUCCUAGCAUCUACACGCACUCCCUCAUUCACACGUAUAGAAAACGAGGAACCAGGGUGCACACAGGAGAGGGAAUGUGAGAUAUCUCUCUCAACUUAUUUGCCCAGGUUCUCUCACUAAAUGUUUUCGAGUUCCAUCCAUUUCCCUAUACAUUUCGUUUUUCACUAUGGCUGACCCAAAUCCCAUUCACAUGUGUACCACCGUUCAUUUUUUCUUCACUAGUCGAUGGCUGAUUCCGGAUCCUUACUACCGUGAUCCCAGCAGCAGUUAGCACGGAUGGGCAGGUGCCUCUGUGGAGGGAUGAAGAGUCCUUUGCUCACCCUCAUUCUUUCAAAAGGAGCCACCGGAUUAGGCAUUCAGUCCCCUUAAGUAUUAUGUAUCAGCACCCGUCCUUACAUCCUGUGAAUUUUAUGGGCGGC
rnacentral:lncRNA from 1 species